rnacentral:miRNA from 1 species
UCCACGGACAUCCAUUUUUGUGA